ensembl:lncRNA novel transcript, antisense to RPS6KA2
ACGGGAAGACAACGGAAAUCCAAGGAAAGCUACGAAGGCUGUUAUCAGAGAAAAAUUUCCUCGAAGCACUUUAGCUGUCACUUUGAAGUGUUAGUGACAUCCUUUGGCAGUGAUUAAAUGUGCCACAUGCCACUAAUCUUGUUUAGAAUCCUUAAAGAGGACAGCAGCCCUUACACAGGAUGCUUCGAUCUGAUGACGAUGGUGUUUAUGCAGUGAUGUGUGGCUCACAGGCACGUAUACAACACCAUCAACUCUUCCAUCUCAUACCUCAUCAGAGCUUUCCAUCUGAUCCCAUUUGGAGAAGGAUAUCACACCUGAGGAAUCCACGUGUAAGCUAUUGCUCUUGUAUGAGUUCAGGUGCACACGCACUGUGGACGCACACUGCACUGUGCCCCCCAACGGCUGACAACGUGGAGCCGGGAUGCAGGAGCAUCCGCCUUCUCCAAGCUUCUCUCCCACCUCUCACUGUGAUACUGAGCAGAACUCCCCAAAGAAAAAUCAUUUCUCAACUGUGAAACUAGGGAAGACUAACCAGAUGUGAUAGCACACUGUAUUCUGAUCGAAAGUGAACUAUUCUUCCAUCAUAUUGGUCAAGCUUUCAAAAACACUUACCUAUACUUCAGGGCGAAAGAUUCUCAGCAUCCUCUAACAAAUGUUUGCCUCAGAACCAUUGAAAAGAAAAGGUUUAGAAUUAAUGACAGAGAACAAUGUACCCACAGCUGCAUUUUGCUCUUUUGAAAAUUAGAUAUUUUUCUGCAGAUAAUACUACAGAACCACAAUAAAAGUUAUCAUCAUGCUUCACAUCUAGUAAUGAACGUGAAACAAGCACCCUCGAAUAGCUGCAUCGAGCAUGAAAGGGCACGGGCCCCACUGCCGGCCGGGUGAAUUCUAGACGGGCCCCACUGCCAGCCGGGUGAAUUCUAGCAGAUACUUCACCCAAAAUGCUUCAGUGUGCAUCAAACUGACACGAGCUCCUACACAAUCACAAUAUAAUUUACUCGCCUGAGAGAUUCAGUACACAAUGUCCCCAGUUUCCCCCCAAUAUCCUUAAACUGAUUUAUUCUGCACAAUUCCAUCACAAAGUUUUUCACUUAUUUGUCGAAUCUCAACAGUAUUCUUGAAUGAAGUAUCCUCCAGUUUUUGUUGCUGUUUAGACAUUUACAUUUAUGAACAAAGAGUUCAGGGCAGCUGCUCUGUAGAAUGUUUCAUAGUCUGGACUGAUUUCGUGGUUUCUUCAUAAUUAGAUUAGGGUAAAAUAUUUUUAGCUGCUGUACAUCACGUUAGGAGACCUGUCAUGUCAACUUGCACCAUUGUGGGAGACACUCGCUUCUGCCUGCCGGGUCGCCUUUGUGAAGAUAACCUUUCCCAUCGUAAUUAAUAAGUAGGAUGUGGGGCAAUAGCUCCUCAACCUUUCCCCUCAUGGCUUUAGCACUUAUAAAAAAUGUAAAAAAAAAUAUCAGGUGUCCAUUUUCAAGGCUGAGGGUGGGGGAAGAAUCUAAUUAACUUUGAACAGCACCUGGAUGGCAGAAUCCCUCUAGACACUGACAACCCACCGCAACCCCAAACUUUACAACUAUUUCACCCAACUCUUUUCAACAGAAGUUCUCAUUUUUGUUCAUAUAUAUUGAAUAUUUCCAAACUAUUCAAUUUACCUUCCACAGAAAUUGCUCCUUUUUAUUACUCAAAGUUCAUCGGAUCAUAGUAAUUAAUGAUCAUACUUCAGUGUAUCUAGGGUAAGACUGACUACAAGGUACAUCAGUAGUUUACAUGCCCUACAGGAAGAAAACACCAAGGACACAUAACAAGCAUCACUGCACCACCCACAACUGAUGUUGGUGACAACGUGCAGACACAAUAUUUGCACCCGGAGUCAGUGAAAUGUGGUGAAUGAUGUCAUGUGUGCAAAGUAGUACAAACAGGUCAGGGAACAAACAGAGCGGACUCCUGGGAACCACGUGUAUCUCCAGUGGCUGCCAACUCAGGCCGGUCUGCAGAGGAUUCUGCCACAGCCUGGGCUGGAGGCUACACACCUGGCUGGUGGAUCUGAGACAGAGCAGGGCGGGUAACUGAAGACCAGGCUGGAAAGGUUCUAGCUU